rnacentral:rRNA from 1 species
CACGUAGGGUGCGAGCGUUGUCCGGAAUUAUUGGGCGUAAAGAGCUCGUAGGCGGUGUGUCGCGUCGGCCGUGAAAACCUGCAGCUUAACUGUGGGCUUGCGGUCGAUACGGGCAUCACUGGAGUUCGGCAGGGGAGACUGGAAUUCCUGGUGUAGCGGUGAAAUGCGCAGAUAUCAGGAGGAACACCGGUGGCGAAGGCGGCAUCCUGGACCGGUAUUGACGCUGAGGCGCGAAAGCUAGGGGAGCAAACGGG